CGCCCGCGUCGAGGCGGCCGACGGCGCCUCUCCCGCUUUCAACCAAGUUUUUCAUUAUCACCAAACCAAAGCUCACGAAUUCGAUGAAGAGAAACGUAGGGUUCCGACAGGAUCCAAUCCUCUUCACAAUAAAUGACGUCGCGACGUCGUUUUUAGCCGUUAUUUACGAAUGCUUUCUAGCUAGAUAGCUCGAUAUAAAAGGUGAUGUUUCUUUUUUUUUUUCUCUCAUGCUUGGGGAAAAAAAUUAAUUAUUAUAUUUAGGUUGUAUUUUGUAUAUUUUUUAUUUUUAUAUAUAAAUUGUAAUUCCGUCCGUCUAAAUUUAUUUCUACGUGCAAAAGUAUAGUUUCGCCCGUCUAUUUUUAAAAUCCUAGCUCCGUCCCUGCUCAUGCUCGAAUAAUACUAUACAUUAAAUGUAGGAAUUUGAAUUCACGAUGUUUUUUAAAGUUUUAAUCACGAAGCUUAUCGUUCUACUAAUUAGGUCACCAAAAGAAGAUUUUAUUCGUGAGAAGUGAAGUUUUGAAGGCAAGUUUGAGAUUUCGACAGCGUGGCGUAGUUUUGUUAGUGUAUAUAUAUAUUAAUUGGAUUAUAUUUUUUUUGCUUCAAGCAGCAAUGAAGAUGGAUAGUGUGUGUCUGUGUGUGUAUAUAUGUUAUAUAUAUAGACAUUUACUUACAUAUAAUUUGAUGUUAGAAUGAGUAUUUUAGUUAGAGCUUCAGAGAUUGAUUUGGUUUGUAAUAUUUAAAUUGAGCGCGCUUACAAUAUUUUUCGCAUUCAUUUAAGCCCAGUUUGGAUUUUUCUUUGUUUAAAAUAAUAGUUGUUCUGACUUGAUAAAUAUAAAAAAAAAUAUUGGAAG
rnacentral:lncRNA from 1 species